rnacentral:rRNA from 1 species
AUUGAACGCUGGCGGCAGGCCUAACACAUGCAAGUCGAACGAGUGGUGGACGGGUGAGUAAUGUCUGGGAAACUGCCUGAUGGAGGGGGAUAACUACUGGAAACGGUAGCUAAUACCGCAUAACAUCAGAUGUGCCCAGAUGGGAUUAGCUAGUUGGUGGGGUAAAGGCACACCAAGGCGACGAUCCCUAGCUGGUCUGAGAGGAUGACCAGUCACACUGGAACUGAGACACGGGCCAGACUCCUACGUGAGGCAGCAGUGGGGAAUAUUGCACAAUGGGCGCAAGCCUGAUGCAGCCAUGCCGCGUGUAUGAAGAAGGUCUUCGGGUUGUAAAGUACUUUAAGCGGGGAGGCGUUACCCGCAGAAGAAGCACCGGCUAACUCCGUGCCAGCCGCCGCGGUAAUAC